rnacentral:rRNA from 1 species
AACGAACGCUGGCGGCGUGGAUAAGACAUGCAAGUCGAGCGGAUUACUUUCUGUAGCAAUACAGGGAGUAGUCAGCGGCGCAAGGGUGCGUAACACGUGGGCAACCUGCCCGGAAGUGGGGGAUAGCUCGCCGAAAGGCGAAUUAAUACCGCAUGUGGCUAGAGGUGACAUCACCUUGAGGCCAAAGUUGGGGCAACCUGACGCUUCUGGAUGGGCCCGCGGCCUAUCAGCUAGUUGGUGAGGUCACGGCUCACCAAGGCGAUGACGGGUAGCGGGUCUGAGAGGACGACCAGCCACACUGGAACUGAGACACGGUCCAGACACCUAAGGGUGGAAGCAGUCGAGAAUUUUUCUCAAUGGGGGAAACCCUGAAGGAGCGACGCCGCGUGGAGGAUGAAGGUCUUCGGAUUGUAAACUCCUGUCAUUGGUGAACAAAGCCCUCGGAGUAACUGCCGUUGGGUUUGAUAGUAGCCGAAGAGGAAGAGACGGCUAACUCUGUGCCAGCCGCCGCCGUAA